rnacentral:rRNA from 1 species
CCUACGGGGUGCUGCAGUGGGGAAUAUUGCACAAUGGGCGAAAGCCUGAUCCAGCCAUGCCGCGUGUGUGAAGAAGGCCUUCGGGUUGUAAAGCACUUUCAGUGGGGAAGAAAGCCUUGGGGCUAAUACCCUCGAGGAAGGACAUCACCCACAGAAGAAGCACCGGCUAACUCCGUGCCAGCAGCCGCGGUAAUACGGAGGGUGCGAGCGUUAAUCGGAAUUACUGGGCGUAAAGCGCGCGUAGGCGGUCUGAUAAGCCGGUUGUGAAAGCCCCGGGCUCAACCUGGGAACGGCAUCCGGAACUGUCAGGCUAGAGUGCAGGAGAGGAAGGUAGAAUUCCCGGUGUAGCGGUGAAAUGCGUAGAGAUCGGGAGGAAUACCAGUGGCGAAGGCGGCCUUCUGGACUGACACUGACGCUGAGGUGCGAAAGCGUGGGUAGCAAACAGGAUUAGAUACCCGAGUAGUC